rnacentral:misc_RNA from 1 species
GAAAUGAGCGCUGGAUUUAACGACAUCGUUUGCAUGAAACAACCAUUUGGUGAAGAAUAAUAUUUCUACAACGACAAAAUGAAGGCUGAAACAUGCAUUGGGUUUUUGUUUUGUUUUGCUACAGUUUGCUCGCAAAACACUCUUGAACAUAUUGGGGAGCAAUUAGAAAACUCUGGCUCGAAAAAUGAGAUAAGUCCUUUCUGCAUGGCGGGAAAAUGCGCUGGAGUUCCGUACGAGAGGAUUCAAAGUUUGUAUAGAGUUUUAGAUCCCGGGGAAACUGCAGCACUUGUCGAGAAGAAUCUGCAUUGCUCAAUAUUCUAGUUGUGGACGAAACAUUUAGAUCAUACCCUCCAUUGGAAUUCGACUCAUUCUACAUACAUAGUUACUGUUCUUGUAAAGGAGGAUGACGAGUGCUGACCACAGAAAUGUGUUGAAAUGAGUGAAUUUAAAAUUGUAAAAUGUGUAAUUUUGUUUUUGAUUUUCGUGAAUUCAUACAUCUGUACUUGGCAUGAUUCUUUACUCUUUAUAAAAAAGAAUGAGAUGAUAAAAAGUGCAUUUUUAUGACUGUUUUUAAAAAUAGGUUCCUUUGAUGUAGUACUAAAAUAAAAUUUUAAAAAACAUUGAGUGCAUU